rnacentral:rRNA from 1 species
AGAGUUUGAUCCUGGCUCAGAUUGAACGCUGGCGGCAUGCUUUACACAUGCAAGUCGAACGGCAGCACAGGGAGCUUGCUCCCGGGUGGCGAGUGGCGCACGGGUGAGUAAUACAUCGGAACGUGUCCUGUUGUGGGGGAUAACUGCUCGAAAGGGUGGCUAAUACCGCAUGAGACCUGAGGGUGAAAGCGGGGGAUCGCAAGACCUCGCGCAAUUGGAGCGGCCGAUGCCCGAUUAGCUAGUUGGUGAGGUAAAGGGCUCACCAAGGCGACGAUCGGUAGCUGGUCUGAGAGGACGACCAGCCACACUGGGGACUGGAGACACGGCCCAGGACUCCUACGGGAGGCA